CCCUUAGAUGUUCUGGGCCGCACGCGUGCUACACUGAGUGGAUCAGCGGGUCAGGUUGCGCGAAAGUGUUUCCUAAUCUUUAAAUCCGCUCGUGAUGGGGAUUGACGGUUGCAAUUUUCCGUCAUGAACGAGGAAUACCUUGUAAGCGCGGGUCAUCAUCCCGCGCUGAAUACGUCCCUGCCCUUUGUACACACCGCCCGUCGCUCCUACCGAUUGAGUGGUCCGGUGAGGCUUUGGGAUCUGAGCGGAAAGAGCGUUUCGCUGUUUCUGCCCGGAAAACUCAGUCGAACCUUAUCAUUUAGAGGAGGGAGAAGUCGUAACA
rnacentral:rRNA from 1 species